GAAGACCGAGGCACUGCAGAUGUGACUGCUAUGUCACUUGUGUGUCAGCAGGUGGCAGAGAAGAGAGAAGCUAUGUCUAUACUCAGUGUUUUGACUUAUGAACAUGUGAAUGAUUAGUAGUCCAACAUU
rfam:Mus musculus chromosome 9, GRC primary reference assembly.